CAGUCAACAGAUGAGGUACCACAACAUGUCCACUAAGUUAACUUUUAACGACGUACAAGGUGCCCAAGGAGCUGGGGGGACACAGACAGGCCGGUUGAGCCUUGCUGUCCCCAGGGACGUGCCAGACCUUGGGGCGCCGUGGCACUGGGACAGCUGGAUGGGGUCCGCUGCUUCCUGGGCCAGCAGUUGGCCGGUGGGGAGCAGCCGCAUUGGGCAUCACGUGUUUGUGUAUUCAUUUCUUUUUUACUAUUAUUAUUUUUCCCCCUCUUUUUUUCCUAUUAAGUUGUCCUUAUCACAACACAUAGAUCAGGGGGAGUGAGCAACCAGCAGGGUGGGCCUGGGUUGCCUGCAGGGCUCAAGCAUGGCGCUGCCAGCAGAGGCUGCCUGCUCAGUAACACACCUGCUUUAACACCGAGCAGCAUGAAGCUCAGUUCCAUCACUUGCAAAGAAAAAUGGCAACUUCCACGCCCUUGACAAGAAAAACAACUUCUCUGGAUCAAAACCUGGAUGAACACAGUGAAGAGCACAUAGUCCCUCUGCAUUUUUUGCACCAAAUGUGGUGAUCCUUUGAUAACAGUGACUGAUAGUGUCUGGGUAAGUUUGCUUAAUAUUUGCUGUGGACAGUGUCUUGACUGAGGCUCAAUCAAUCACUUUGAAGAGGAAAUAAGGGCUAAUGCAGUAAAACAAUAUUGGUUAUGCACUCAGUUAAUCCAUCACAAUUCUCUU